AGUGCGGGGGCCAGCGGAGCGUGCGCAGACGGGAGACUGCGGGCCCGAGCGCCUUGUUUGGUGAUGGCCGGGACGUCUUCGUCUGCGGAGACCUGGGAAGUAACUGCGGUCGGCGCCAUGUUAAGUCGGGGCAAAAGGGACGGCGUCACUUGGGGGUUGGGCGCCCGAAGCAAAUUCUCGAAGCCGCGUGGGACGCGCGGGCGGCGUUUAAGUGCUCGCAGCGACACUCCGCCUGGCUGAGGGGAGAUGAGUGACGAGAUAAAUGGGAACUUUCGGAUGCCGGUUUCCGCCCGUUGGGGAGCGAAGAGCGGGAAGUUGGGCAGUGCGCCGGGAGAGCGCGGCCGAGUGACAGCGCCUCCGUGGUUGGGCGGCCGGGGUGCGAGGGGCGGUGCCACCUUCCCGGAGGUGGCGGCGGGCGGCAUUCCCGGGCCCCCGAGGUCGGCUCCCGCCUCGGGAAGAGAACACACGUCAGUCCUACCGUCAACAGAAAUCCGAAAGGCCGGGCGACGGCGGCGGGCGCCCCGGGAAGGGAGCCUAACACGUUGCGAGUUAUUUAUUAAUUCCUUCAAAUGAUUUAAUGUUAUCCUGCACAAAACAGAUUGAGGCCAACCAAUAGCGAUUACUCACUUGUUUCUGUUUUGAGGAUGUAACCCAGGGAAAUGAAGGCUGUUUUUCAUCUUAAAUGGACGUACUUCACCAGAGAACAUCUUAUGGACUUAUUUAACAUAUGUGCUACGUUGAGUAUAUACAAGUAUGUAUUAAAAAAAAAAAGGAUUCAGAGUUCAAAAAUAAAAAUUCUAGUGAUAUCAAAACGUAUGCACCAGCAGGUGUGCCCUUUCCUAACUGGAGGGGACGGUGAGCAGCGACACAAAAGCAGGAACAACAGCAGAUACGUCAGCUGUCAUCUUCGGUAGACGGCAAAAUGCUCUAAAACGCCACCCAUCCCCGGAAGCCUAAUAUCACCCAGGCAGGAGCUUAUCUAAACGCCACGUAAAGUACAAGUUUCUGGUCACCUACAACAUGUUUCACCUUUCAACUGCUAUAAUGUUGAGGACGACCUGAAAAACUUGUCGUAACAGUGGAAUAUAACUGCAAUAUGGAAGCACUGUUUUUGUUUUUUUUUUAAUGUUCAUAUUUGGGGGAGAGAGAGAGAGACAGAGCGCAAGGAGGUGGAGACAGAGAAUCUGAAGCAGGCUCCAGGCUCUGAGCUGUCAGCACAGAGCCCGAGGCGGGGCUCGAACUCACAGACCACAAGAUCAUGACCUGAGCUGAAGUCGGUCACUUAACCGACUGAGCCACCCAGGUGCCCCUGGAAACACCUCUUUUAACGUUACAGGAAAAUGCAUCCAGAAAGGUCCAACCUGGAAAAUCGUGGAUAUUCCUCAAAUCUGGCAGACUUGGUCCUGAAUGACAGCACACUUCCUCUACCCCAUGGCUUCCAACCCAAAAAGCAGGCAGGGGCAACUGGGGUGGAGUGAUGGGCCGGAGAAUGAAAGUAAGCACAGUUUCCAAAAGCAAAGUGCUACAGCUGGAAAGCAUGCCUGGAAGAUAAAGCCACAGAACCCAUGAAAAUCUGAGCCAGGGCACCUCAUAUGGAUAAGAAUUUUCCUGCAGCAAUCUUACCCCUAAUGUCAAGGACACUUGAGACAGUCCAAUUCUUUGCUUUGUUCCCCUUAACAUUAAAUCAUGAGCCUUUUCCAUGUUUUGAAAUGUCCACGAAACAUACAUUUUAAGAGCUGCCUAAUAUUCCACUGGAAGGGUGUACAAUAAUUUAACAGUUUCCUUACUGUGUGGCAUUUAGGAUGUUGCCAAAUUGUCAGUGUAAUAAACCCUAUUCCAUCAAAGUUCUCAUACAAGGUCUUUGAGUGUAUGCUGGGUUAAAUCUUUAGGACAGAUUACUAGAAAUGGAAUUACACUUCAUAAAAAACUGGAUAUUUUCAAGGCUGUGAAUACACAUUAUGAAACUGCUUUUCAGGAUGGUUGUGAGAAUUCGCAAUUUCACUAACAGUGUAGAAAAGCACCCACCAAGUAUUUAAUAUUUGGCUUUUGUUAGAAAAAAAAAAUUUUAAGUUUAUUUUUGAGAGAGAAAGAGCACAAGGAGGGACGGGCAGAGAGAGAGAGAAUCCCAAGCAGGCUCUGUGCUGUCAGCGCAGAGCCUGACAUGAGGCUCAAUCUCAUGAACUGCAAGGUCAUGACCUGAACCAAAAUCAAGAGUCAGACGCGUAAGUGACUGAGCCACCCAGACACCCCAGAAAAUAUUUUUAAAUUAAUGUUUCACAUUAAGAUUAUAUGGUCAUUUCAUACAGAGUUCUUUGCCUAAAAAGAUGAAACUAGAUUAUUUUACAUGGUUGGUUUCAGUUUCAAACAUUAAUUUGUAUUCAUGUUAGUAAUCUAGCAGGAAACAUGACUUUAAAAAUUUAUAGGGGCACCUGGGUGGUUUAGUCGGUUAAACAUCUGACUCUUGCAUUUGGCUCAGGUCAUAAUCUCAUGGUUGUAAGAUCAAGCCCUGUGUCAGGCUCUGUGCUGAGUGUGGAGCCUGCUUGGGAUUCUCUCUCUGCCCCUCCCCCUUCCUCUCUCUCAAAAUAAAUAAACAUUAAAAAAGACUGUAGGGGCGCCUGGGUGGCUCAGUCGGUUAAGGGACCGACUUCGGCUCAGGUCAUGAUCUCGCGGUCCGUGAGUUUGAGCCCCGCGUCGGGCUCUGUGCUGACCGCUCAGAGCCUGGAGCCUGUUUCAGAUUCUGUGUCUCCCUCUCUCUGACCCUCCCCCGUUCAUGCUCUGUCUCUCUC